rnacentral:rRNA from 1 species
UACGUAGGGUGCAAGCGUUAAUCGGAAUUACUGGGCGUAAAGCGUGCGCAGGCGGUUUUGUAAGUCUGUCGUGAAAUCCCCGGGCUUAACCUGGGAAUGGCGAUGGAGACUGCAAGGCUAGAGUUUGGCAGAGGGGGGUAGAAUUCCACGUGUAGCAGUGAAAUGCGUAGAGAUGUGGAGGAACACCGAUGGCGAAGGUAGCCCCCUGGGUCAAAACUGACGCUCAUGCACGAAAGCGUGGGGAGCAAACAGG